rnacentral:rRNA from 1 species
GACGAACGCUGGCGGCGUGCUUAACACAUGCAAGUCGAACGGUGAAGCGCCUUCCUUUUUGGUGGGUGUGGAUGAGUGGCGAACGGGUGAGUAACACGUGAGUAACCUGCCCCCUUCUUCUGGAUAACCGCAUGAAAGUGUGGCUAAUACGGGAUAUUCUGGGUCUGUCGCAUGAUGGGUCUGGGAAAGAUAUUGUUUCGGUGGGGGAUGGGCUCGCGGCCUAUCAGCUUGUUGGUGGGGUGAUGGCCUACCCAGGCGGUGACGGGUAGCCGGCCUGAGAGGGUGGACGGGCACACUGGGACUGAGACACGGCCCAGACUCCUACGGGAGGCAGCAGUGGGGAAUAGUGCACAAUGGGCGCAAGCCUGAUGCAGCGACGCCGCGUGAGGGAUGGAGGCCUUCGGGUUGUGAACCUCUUUCGCCAGUGAAGCAGGCCUGCCUCGUUUGUGGGUGGGUUGACGGUAGCUGGAUAAGAAGCGCCGGCUAACUACGUG